rnacentral:rRNA from 1 species
UACGUAGGGGGCGAGCGUUGUCCGGAUUUAUUGGGCGUAAAGCGCGCGUAGGCGGACCUGCAAGUCGGGGGUGAAAGCCCGGAGCUCAACUCCGGAAUUGCCUUUAAGACUGCAUCGCUUGAAUCCGGGAGAGGUGAGUGGAAUUCCGAGUGUAGAGGUGAAAUUCGUAGAUAUUCGGAAGAACACCAGUGGCGAAGGCGGCUCACUGGACCGGUAUUGACGCUGAGGUGCGAAAGCGUGGGGAGCAAACAGG